UAAUGUGUGUAAGACUGCAAACUACUUAGCAUUCAAAGAGCGUCUUAGGACAACCUCAAAAAUACAAAACCCCAAACGAGGUGGCCACUUCUGUGAAAGAAGAUUGGGUUGGUAACCAUGACCACGUUGGCCGCAUUCGCAGGAGUCUUUUUUUUUUUUUUUUUUUUUUUUCAAACCAUGUCUGAACUCUUUAAAGAGAAAAUAAAACCAAACCUCUUGCUAGCAGUGUGUUCCAAGCUGGUUUGUUUAUUGUUUAUUAUUCCGUGUUGUGCCAAUGGGAGAAAGCUGUUUUCUCUUGAGGAUACUUCUUAUUUGUCUACAAAGUAAGGGGUUUAGUGUUUUCUAUAAGAAGUAUUAAUGCUGAUAACUGAUUUUAAGUGACCCAAGAAAACUACUGUCUCUACAGCCAUUUCACGUUGUAUUUGGAUGUCUGCUUCGGCCUUGUGCGACUUAUGUGUUGGACAUUUUUAUUCUCAGUCUCAGAUAAGAGGGAGAGGGAGCAAGUUUAGGGUUUUUUUUUGUUGAUGGAUGAAUGUAUUAAAAUUACCUGGGUAACAUUGCUUGCCUCGGGUUAGACUUUAUUAGAACACUAAGAC
rnacentral:lncRNA from 1 species